UACGAAGGGGGCUAGCGUUGCUCGGAAUCACUGGGCGUAAAGCGCACGUAGGCGGAUCUUUAAGUCAGGGUGAAAUCCUGGAGCUCAACUCCAGAACUGCCUUUGAUACUGAAGAUCUUGAGUUCGGGAGAGGUGAGUGGAACUGCGAGUGUAGAGGUGAAAUUCGUAGAUAUUGGGAAGAACACCGGUGGCGAAGGCGGCUCUCUGGACCGACACUGACGCUGAGGCGCGAAAGCGUGGGGAGCAAACAGG
rnacentral:rRNA from 1 species